GUUGAUCCUAUGCAGGCCUGUAUUUUAGGUUCCAAGGAAAAAGGGAGCCCUGCAUGCCCAUGGGGAGUUUGUUGGGUGUUGCUCGUGAGAUCUCCUGCAAGGAACUCUUGGACGUGGGGGUGGGGAGUUUGUUGGGUGUUGCUCGUGAGAUCUCCUGCAAGGAACUCUUGGACGUGGGGGUGGGGAGUUUGUUGGGUGUUGCUCGUGAGAUCUCCUGCAAGGAACUCCUGGGCGGAGCUGUGGCCCGGAGCAGACUGUCAGACGCUAUCUGUCCCAGACAUCGCCAUCUGCCAGCCAACACCCUCCUGAAACUGUCAAGGCAUGGGACCUACAUGGGACGGAAGGAAGGAGGAAAGAAAGAAAGAAAGAAAGAAAGAAAGAAAGAAAGAAAGAGAGAAAGACAAAGGUGGACACAAAAUGGUGCAUCUGUGCAAUGGUGCCCCACCACCCCACCCCCAUCCCCAAUACGUCUGAUGUGUCUAUGGGAGGAUUCUCUCAGCUGACCUGACUGUAUUUUCUACGGGGGGCAAAAAAUAGUGUCGCUGGUAUUCACAAGGUUGAGUAACACUAGGAGUCAUCUGUCAUCCUGCCCGUUACUAAACAAUACAAGAGAGAGGACAACCACGAGGACAGAGAAAGCGUGAGGGACACAUUCCUAAACUGAUAUGCCACCGUAGACAUGAAAGUAUGACCAGCAGACACUUCUGGAUAUCGGAUUUGCACUUGGAAAGGACUAUUCCACUGAAAUGAAUGAUCUGAAUGCAGGUAUUAAAUUCAAACCGGACAUCAGGAACUGCUGUGUAUUGGCAUUUGUUGAGACGUGGCUCGUCCCGGAGAUCUCCGAUACGGCAGUUACACCGUCGGGAUUCAGCGCACACCGCCAGGAUAGGACAGCUGAUUCAGGCAAGCGCAGGGGUGAAGGGGUCUGUGUUAUGGUUAACUUUCUUUGGGCUACGGACAUAGCAGUACUAGCAUCUCACUGCUCUCCGGUCCUUGAGCUGCUAACUGUAAAAAUCAGACCCUUCUAUCUACAGUGGGAGUUUACUGCAGUCGUUAUGAGUGUAGUGUACAUCCCCCCAAG
ensembl:lncRNA